CAUUCCCCGGUUCGAUCUGGGUGAUGGCAUGUGCAUUGCAUACGAGUACUCGCCAUAAUCACUUGAAUACUAAGGAAAUCAACUGAAAUUUAUUUGGUGUCAUUUCAGCAUGUUUUUAAAAGAAUGAGAAAAAUAUGUUUGUUGGAGGAAUAGCAUCUAUUGAUCUAAUUAUUGGGAUCCGUGUUGGACAAAUAACCACAGCAUAUUUAAAAUAGUUUGCCAUAAAUUGACUUUUGGCUGACACAUUUUCCUGUAAAUUUUACUUUACCAGCCCCUUUAUUAAAUCGUGUUUGUAUCAAUCAUUCUCUGGUCUAUUGCAAAUCAAUGUUGAAGCUUUAUUUAAAGGUGAUGUAAAGUCUGUUAUGUAAACAAACGCUUUGUUUACAUUUUGAACUAAGUGCUACAGUUGUAAAAUAUGAUUAGAUAUAUAUUAUGCUCAAUUUUUAACACUUCUCUGGUUCGCUAUGCUUGUGAAUUAAUUAAUAGAGACUAGAGAUUCAAUUCAAGAAAGUUCGGAAGGUGCGAAAUACUAACAACAUUCCAAUGGUCGGGUCCCGACCAUUGAAAUGUAGGCCUGCGCAGAACUUAUGCGCAGAACGGAUUUUACAUCACCUUUAAUCAAGUACAGAUUAAGACUCUUAAAGGACAAUUCACAUGAUCCGACACUACCAUAGGGGGCUACCAUUGGGGGGGGGCUGAUUAGUCAGGGGCAAUUAUUAAGUCAUUAUUUCCCUCUCAAACUUUACAGAUUAUCGCUAGUUUACAAAUUGUUGGGGGGGGGGGCUGAAGCCCCCCUCCCCCGUUGCUACAACCCUGUCCGAUUAAUUGGAUACUAAACUUACCUACCAUGGUAUUGCAAUCAGUUCGUUUGCAAAUUCUCAUAAAUAUUACAGUCCAUUACAGUCCUUGUUAAUUAAUAAACACAUACAGUACAGCAUCAGCAGGAGAAUUGUAUCCAACUAAUUGGAUACUGUGAAAAGAAAAAGAAAAAAUGAUAUGGUACCCCUGAUGCCAGUAAUUAAUAAUACAGUAGACUAGUUCCAAACAAACACUAGGUGGAAUUUUCCUAAUUCUCAGUCAAAGCUCCCACAUAUAUUUAAAAAUUAACAUGGCCAACUGAAUCCUUCACCUAACAUGGCCUCUCCCUGAAAUACAUCCACAGCAAAGCCAUCAAUCUCUUUGGGGAGAAUUUCAUCGGGAGGUAUUUCAGAUUCAGGUUUUUUCUUCCUUACCCAGAUAACAAGGCAAAGUUCAUCUGUUUUCCGACCGCGAACCGUCUUGUAGUUGAUAUCGACCGCAGUGACAUUUGGCCAUGCGAGAAGACGAUCGAUGUGCUUUUGUUUUACGACUCGUAGUUCCUCUCUAAUAUCAGUCAUUGCUCACUUUGAAGAAGGAAAUGUUAACAAUAAUGUCGAAUAAAUCCAAAAACGUUCAAAAUGCCAUAUCUUCGACUUGUCUGGAAAAGGAGCUACAAGCCUACAACCUUCGAACCUUGUAAAUAAA